GAUGAAGAACGUAGCGAAAUGCGAUAAGUAAUGCGAAUUGCAGAAUUCAGUGAGUCAUCGAAUCUUUGAACGCACAUUGCGCCCGCUAGUAUUCUGGCGGGCAUGCCUGUUCGAGCGUCAUUUCAACUAUCAAGCUCUCCGGGCUUGCGUUGGGGUUCUGCGGCUGCGCGCAGGCCCCGAAAUGCAGUGGCGGGCUCGCUAUCACACCGAGCGCAGUAGCGUACCUCUCGCUCUGGGCGUGGCGGCGGGCGCCGGCCGUAAAACUCUCCUAACGACCCCUAAAGGUUGACCUCGGAUCAGGUAGGAAUACCCGCUGAACUUAAGCAUAUCAAUAAGCGGAGGA
rnacentral:misc_RNA from 1 species